rnacentral:rRNA from 1 species
GACGAACGCUGGCGGCGUGCUUAACACAUGCAAGUCGAACGGAAAGGCCCUGCUUUUGUGGGGUGCUCGAGUGGCGAACGGGUGAGUAACACGUGAGUAACCUGCCCUUGACUUUGGGAUAACUUCAGGAAACUGGGGCUAAUACCGGAUAGGAGCUCCUGCUGCAUGGUGGGGGUUGGAAAGUUUCGGCGGUUGGGGAUGGACUCGCGGCUUAUCAGCUUGUUGGUGGGGUAGUGGCUUACCAAGGCUUUGACGGGUAGCCGGCCUGGGAGGGUGACCGGCCACAUUAGGACUGAGAUACGGCCCAGACUCCUACGGGAGGCAGCAGUGGGGAAUAUUGCACAAGGGGCGGAAGCCUGAUGCAGCAACGCCGCGUGCGGGAUGACGGCCUUCGGUUUGUAAACCGCUUUCGCCUGUGACGAAGCGUGAGUGACGGUAAUGGGUAAAGAAGCACCGGCUAACUACGUG